rnacentral:tRNA from 1 species
GCCUCCGUGGCGCAAUCGGCUAGCGCGUUCGGCUGUUAACCGAAAGGUUGGUGGUUCGAGCCCAUACGGGGGCG